UUUCCGUAGGUGAACCUGCGGAAGGAUCAUUAAUGAGGGCGUGUGGGCUAACAUCCCCGCGAACCCUAAUCCUUUGUUUACUUACCCCGUGGUGGUUUUUGCUUGGGCCCGGUAUGGAUUUUUUUUUUAAAAGUCUUUGUGAUGUCGACUAUAAUGGUUGCCACAGCGCCCCCCAAAAAAACAAAACCAGAUCAAAAAAAAUUCUAAUACAUAUUGUUGUCUGAAGCAAAAUUUAAACAAGCAAAACUUUCAACAACGGAUCUCUUGGUUCCGGCAUCGAUGAAGAACGCAGCGAAAUGCGAUAAGUAAUGUGGACCGCAGUACUCAGCGACUCAUCGAAUCUUUGAACGCACAUUGCGCCCCUUGGUAUCACCAAAGGGCACACCUGUCCGAGCGUCAUCAUACAUCAUAUCAGGCCAAGAGCUCGGCUUGCAUUGGGCUUUGUCUACUUUAUGUAGAAGUCUAAAAGUUAGUGGCGGUUAAGUUAGGCAUUCCAGCGUAGUAAUUAUAUUAGCUGUUGAAAUGUCUUUCACUUAAUAGUCAACACCUCCAUGGUUUCUGCUGGCAGAGACCUGGUUGGAUUUUAUCAAUUAUUGACCUCGGAUCAGGUGAGGAUACCCGCUGAAUUUAA
rnacentral:misc_RNA from 1 species